GACGAACGCUGGCGGCGUGCUUAACACAUGCAAGUCGAACGGAAAGGCCCUGCUUUUGUGGGGUGCUCGAGUGGCGAACGGGUGAGUAACACGUGAGUAACCUGCCCUUGACUUUGGGAUAACUCAGGGAAACGGGGGCAAUAACCGGAUAGGAGCUCUUGCGCCAGGUUGGGGGUUGGAAAGUUUCGGCGGUUGGGGAUGGACUCGCGGCUUAUCAGCUUUUUGGGGGGGUAGUGGCUUACCAAGGCUUUGACGGGUAGCCGGCCUGAGAGGGUGACCGGCCACAUUGGGACUGAGAUACGGCCCAGACUCCUACGGGAGGCAGCAGUGGGGAAUAUUGCACAAUGGGCGGAAGCCUGAUGCAGCAACGCCGCGUGCGGGAUGACGGCCUUCGGGUUGUAAACCGCUUUCGCCUGUGACGAAGCGUGAGUGACGGUAAUGGGUAAAGAAGCACCGGCUAACUACGUG
rnacentral:rRNA from 1 species